GUGCUCACUUUGGCAGCACAUAUACUAAAAUUAGAAUGCUGAAGAGAAGACCAGCAUGGUCCCUGUACAAGGAUGAUAUGCAAAUUCAUGAAGUGUUCCAUAUUUUA